AGUGAACGCUGGCGGUAGGCCUAACACAUGCAAGUCGAACGGCAGCACAGUAAGAGCUUGCUCUUACGGGUGGCGAGUGGCGGACGGGUGAGGAAUACAUCGGAAGCUACUUUUUCGUGGGGGAUAACGUAGGGAAACUUACGCUAAUACCGCAUACGACCUACGGGUGAAAGCAGGGGAUCUUCGGACCUUGCGCGAUUGAAUGAGCCGAUGUCGGAUUAGCUAGUUGGCGGGGUAAAGGCCCACCAAGGCGACGAUCCGUAGCUGGUCUGAGAGGAUGAUCAGCCACACUUGAACUGAGACACGGUCCAGACUCCUACGGGAGGCAGCAGUGGGGAAUAUUGGACAAUGGGCGCAAGCCUGAUCCAGCCAUACCGCGUGGGUGAAGAAGGCCUUCGGGUUGUAAGCCCUUUUGUUGGGAAAGAAAAGCAGCAGGUUAAUACCCCGCUGUUCUGACGGUACCCAAAGAAUAAGCACCGGCUAACUUCGUG
rnacentral:rRNA from 1 species